GAUGGUCAUCGAAGGUGUAGAUGAUAACAGUUAUACUGGUGAUAUUGCAUUGAUGAUCUGUAUCUGACAAAUGGAUCAUGUCCCAUCCAUCCAGCAUACGCUCAACCUAGAGCGGUUUUCCCGACAGUCCCAAGUUCUGCCAUUAACAUUUGUUCUUCAUCAACAACUACCUCAAGCAGCGGAUCUAUUGUAUCUCCUAACUAUCCCAGUAGUUAUCCUGGAACAAGAACUUGUAUCACAACAAUCAGCAGACCUCUAAAUUACAGAGUUAGAUUCAUUUUUUCGAACAUUAAUUUGAAACAAAAUAGCA